AAUGACAAAGACAGGUGUGAAUCACAGAGAGAGGUGUGAAUGACAAAGACAGGUGUGAAUCAGAGAGAGGGGUGUGAAUGACAAAGACAGGUGUGAAUGAGAGAGAUGGGUGUGAAUGACAAAGACAGGUGUGAAUGAGAGAGAGGGUGUGAAUGACAAAGACAGGUGUGAAUCAGAGAGAGGGGUGUGAAUGACAAAGACAGGUGUGAAUCACAGAGAUGGGUGUGAAUGACAAAGACAGGUGUGAAUGAGAGAGAUGGGUGUGAAUGACAAAGACAGGUGUGAAUCAGAGAGAGAUGGGUGUGAAUGACAAAGACAGGUGUGAAUCAGAGAGAGGGGUGUGAAUGACAAAGACAGGUGUGAAUCACAGAGAUGGGUGUGAAUGACAAAGACAGGUGUGAAUGAGAGAGAGGGGUGUGAAUGACAAAGACAGGUGUGAAUCACAGAGAGGGGUGUGAAUGACAAAGACAGGUGUGAAUCAGAGAGAGGGGUGUGAAUGACAAAGACAGGUGUGAAUCAGAGAGAUGGUGUGAAUGACAAAGACAGGUGUGAAUCACAGAGAUGGGUGUGAAUGACAAAGACAGGUGUGAAUGAGAGAGAUGGGUGUGAAUGACAAAGACAGGUGUGAAUCACAGAGAGAGGUGUGAAUGACAAAGACAGGUGUGAAUGAGAGAGAGGGGUGUGAAUGACAAAGACAGGUGUGAAUGAGAGAGAGGGGUGUGAAU